CCUUUACUUUGGCGAUUUGCUUUGAACUUCUCUCUCUCCUCUCUCCAAAACAAUUUAUUGGUUAAUGGAUUUCCCUGUUGAACACGGAUCGAAUUGAGAAAACCCAGAUCAAAUCUAUUGAGAUUUUGAAGAUUUCGGAGCAAUUCUGAGUCGGGUUUUCCCCUGCUUGGAUGAAAUUCAUCAGUUUCUGGGUUGAGCAGUUGGCCACCAGGUGUUUGUCGAAAAGUCGAAGAGAGGCUGGAAUUCAAAGUUUCAAGAAUGAGGGAUUUUCCUUCUUGUUUUGCUGAAAAUGGCGUUCAAGUUGCGGAUUCUUCGUCUUCGAAUGCUGGUAAAAACGCCCAGAAUUUGGUUACUUGCAUCUACCAGUGUCGGAUUCGUGGCAGAACUUGCUUGAUCACAGUCACAUGGACCAAGAAUCUGAUUGGUCAAGGCCUGACAGUGGGAAUUGAUGAUUCUUGUAACCAAAGUCUGUGUAAAGUCGAGAUUAAGCCGUGGUUGUUCACGAAACGAAAAGGGUCUAAGAGUCUAGAGGCAUAUUCCUGUAAAGUCGAUGUCUUUUGGGAUCUCUCAUCUGCGAAAUUCGGAUCCGGACCUGAACCCUUGGCUGGUUUCUAUGUGGGCGUUGUUGUGGACAAAGAAAUGAUCCUCCUUCUGGGUGAUAUGAAUAAGGAAGCUUUCAAGAAGACGAAUGCCACACCUUCAUCUUCAAGUGCCUUGUUCGUGGCCAAGAAAGAGCAUGUAUUUGGUAAGAGAGUGUUUGCAGCAAAGGCUCAGUUUUCCGGUAACGGUAAAACUCAUGAUCUGGUGAUUGAAUGUGACACCAGUGUCAGUGAUCCUUGCCUCAUUGUUCGUGUGAAUGGAAAGCCCAUGAUGCAGGUGAAGCGGCUUAAGUGGAAGUUCCGUGGCAACGACACCAUAAUUGUCGAUAGAAUGGCUGUGGAAGUUCUAUGGGAUGUUCACAGUUGGCUCUUCGGGAUCCCAUCGACGGGAAAUGCUGUGUUUAUGUUCAGGACAUGUCAAUCUGCGGAGAAGGCCUGGUCUUUCUCACACAGCCUGACAGACGCCAAAUCUCAAAGUUUUGGUUUUUCAUUGAUUUUAUAUGCUUGGAAGAAUGAGUAGAGCAGGGUUUCUAGAGAUUUCCUUCUUGUGAGCUCUAACAAAAGCGUAAAAGUGACUGUUGAUUUUUGUCAACAUUUGUUAUUUAUCAUAAUUAGUGGGUUUGAUUUGUUUGGCUUUCUUCUUGUUUUUCCAUUAGAAGUUGCAAGAUAAUCAGUCAGAACCUUGAUCUUCAUAUUGUAUCUGCUACUUAAUUUAUUCUAAGUGUAUACAUGAGACUUGAAGCAGGUAACGUUGUUCAGAGCCGCUCUUGCUGGCCCUGUAUCGUGGAAUCAGCUGCCCAGAAGAUCUGUGUUUCCUUUUUCAGAUGCAUAAUGUUUCAUUCCUGGGCAGUUUGGGUAAAUUUAAACCCAGAUCAUGCCUGACAUUCAGUUUCUUCCCUUUUGAAUGUUCUGCUGGUCGUUUGGUAAGAGGCUAUAUCGGCCUAUGCUGAAGCUAAUGACUUUAGAAACGUUUCGUAUAUCUGUGAUCAUGUCCUCGAAUCAACAGGUUACUCAUGAAGAUUGUUGAUAGAGAAUCAUGGAGAUUUGAUACAAUAUUACUUGCAUUUCUUGUCCCCCUUAGAUAUACAUGGACAGAACAUCUCUAAUUAACUCGUUUUUUCAUGGAGUUUCACUGUGCCAUGUCUUGUCUCUCGCAAUCUGGACUUUCAGUUCAGAGAGAUGAGAGAGCGGGAAGCUUCUAGCUGUUGUUUAUAACUAAUGCUAUUGUCAAAACCCUUUUUAACUGGUCCUGCAGGCAUAAAAGGGUAUUCAAUCAAAGUGUCUUUGGAGAAUGUCCUGUUCUGGAUUCCUGAGCCGCGAAAUCAGGAAAAAAAGGGGGAAGAAGAACUGCAUUGCGUGCCGUUUGAUGGAGAAUCUCUGAAACUCCUUGCCGUUUGAUCUUCCUUUUUUUUUUGUCGCAGAGGAAUCUUGAAAAGUUUCGAAGAGAUGGGGUCCCCCCCCCCCCUCGCAAUGCUGUUGAAACAUAACAAUCUUUUCGUCCCAACUGUCUCUUGUGAAAUCAUCACAUCACAAUGUUUGCUUUUCUAAAAAGCCAUGGCGAAAUUGCAUCAGAGGAGCAUGCCGUAGGCCCCGCCUGGCCCACCGACCCGACCCGACCCGACCCGACCGGACCCGACCCGAAGGUUUCUCUGUGAACCGGAUCCGGAAUCGUGUACCCGGUCCGAUUGUUUUGUUCACACCAAAACUUGAAAAAAAAAAAAUUUCAAAAUUCUGUCAUGUUGAAAAUACAUGGGCUUAACUCGGAGGCCCAUAUCUUAUUAAUUAAAGGCCCAUUUGUGUCUC